AUGUCUAGGGACAGCAACUGCAGCCAGACCCUGAGCUGGGCCAUCCCUGCCACUCACUGGGUGGUGCUGGGCAAAGGCAUGCAGCUACAGGACAACCCCCCAGGGGCACAGUCUUCAGCACCACCCUGGGAGGUACCAGGAUCAUCUACGACUAGAAAUUCCUGGAGUGUCGGAACUCACCCAUGACCAAAACAUCCCCGAGGGAUCUGCCCACCAUUCCUGGGGUCACCAGCCCUGCCAGUGAUGAGCCCCCAAAAGAAGCCAGCCAGGGCCACCUGUGCAAUGGCCCAGAAGGUAAGUAGUCGGGCCGUGAGGAAUCACAAUUUGAGAUGGACAUUUAA
rnacentral:lncRNA from 1 species